rnacentral:rRNA from 1 species
UACAGAGGUCUCAAGCGUUGUUCGGAUUCAUUGGGCGUAAAGGGUGCGUAGGUGGCGAGGCAAGUCAGAUGUGAAAUCCCGGGGCUCAACCCCGGAACUGCAUUUGAAACUGCCUUGCUCGAGUACUGGAGAGGAGACUGGAAUUUACGGUGUAGCAGUGAAAUGCGUAGAUAUCGUAAGGAAGACCAGUGGCGAAGGCGGCGCACUGGACCGGUACUGACGCUGAGGCGCGAAAGCGUGGGUAGCAAACAGG